rnacentral:rRNA from 1 species
CCUACGGGUGGCUGCAGUGGGGAAUAUUGGACAAUGGGCGAAAGCCUGAUCCAGCCAUGCCGCGUGUGUGAAGAAGGUCUUCGGAUUGUAAAGCACUUUAAGUUGGGAGGAAGGGCAGUAAGUUAAUACCUUGCUGUUUUGACGUUACCAACAGAAUAAGCACCGGCUAACUUCGUGCCAGCAGCCGCGGUAAUACGAAGGGUGCAAGCGUUAAUCGGAAUUACUGGGCGUAAAGCGCGCGUAGGUGGUUCAGCAAGUUGGAGGUGAAAUCCCCG